UUCCUACUGUAAAGUCUCGGCUCCAUUUUGUGCAGCGUUUGGAGAAUGUAAACUUUAUCGGCAGAAACGGUGAUAUUAACGUCACACAACAAGAAUGUCGACUAAAGGAGUAUAAUUCAUCACAGCAGAGGAGAUCAGACUCUUCAGGACUCGGCUGUGUGUUUGUGCCAUCUUUACUAAUUUUCAAAGAUGGAUAAUCCUGACCGGGACAAAGAUAUUUCCAGGCUCUUAGAAGAACGUAAUUUCUAUGGAAACAGACGAGGAUCCCCAUCACCGAGCGGUGUCUCCAUGAAGAGUGCUGUGUCUAUGGAGCCUCCUGAGAAUUUUAGUGGUGGAGU